UGUCUUGCUGUGGCAAGACAAAACCAGGUAGCACAAUUGCUCGGUGUAACUUGAGAGUGAGUUAUUUGUUACUGGAAGGUUAUCCCAACUGUUUCCCCGGGAACCUUUGUUACCACCAGCAGCGUGCAUGGCGAGGUCUGACAUCAACUGGAAUAAUAAAACAUUUCAUUGAUCCCUGAGCCUCCUCAUCUUCUAGUGCUCUGUAACAGCUGCUGCUGCUGCCUUGGCUCCCUGUGCCACAAAGCACAGAGCCCUCAGCCCACAGGCAGAACGACCACCUUGAGCUACAGGGGAAGUUACCAGGCGGUGAGCCGCAUCACCCAGCACCAACGGGGAAUGGGGAAGACAAAGCUCACAGCUCCUCCUUCCCACCCUCUCAUUAACUCCCAAGGAAGCUGUCCACCGGUUACUGCUGUGUAUGCAUAUUUAUGUGCUGCUCUUUAAUUAAAGCUAUCCAAAUUAGUCAUAUUUGAGAAGCCUCUCCCUGUGGGAAGGUCUGGUACUACUGUCAGAUCCACAGUGGACGGCUGUGCCAGCUUAAUGCACGAGUGAAUACAACCACCACCCAGCCUGACAAGUGCAGAUGGAUUGCCACCAGCUGGGGCGAGAAGUGACAAUGAUUGACGUCUGAACAACCUCCCAGUGACAAACCUGGCCUACUUAACGCACCUUGGUCUCUCUCAGAAGUGAAUUUGAUCUUACAGACAGUUCAGCAGCACUGGCAACUAAAAAUUCAACAUGACAUCUCCUUGUUUAAGGAUACCCAUUAUGUACACGGGUAUUGCUGAACCUCAAUUUCUGAAGCUGCUAAAUAUUGGAAGUGGCAGAUGAUGCCUUAACUGCGGAGGAAAAAGACAAGGAGCAUGAUAGGGUAAUUCUUGUUUCACUGCUAAUAGAUGAAGAUCCAAUACAAGUCCUGAUUUUCUAGGGGGCUGUGCAUAUGUGUGUGUGGUUUAAUUUAAACAGCUCUGCA